CUCUCAGCUUAUUUUGCGCAGCUUAGGUGGGAGGCUAUGAACCUUUUCUUCUGGGAAGAGGGGAGCCGUCAGUGAGAUACCACUCUUGGUAAGCUAGAGCGCUCAGUCUUAACCGUCAUCCGGUAAGACGACAGUUUCAGGCGGGCAGUUUGACUGGGGCAGUCACCUCCCAAAAGGUAAUGGAGGUGUGCAAAGGUUCCCUCAGGCUGGACGGAAAUCAGCCAUAGAGUGUAAAAGCAAAAGGGAGCUUGACUGCGAGACUGACAUGUCAAGCAGAGACGAAAGUCGGCUUUAGUGAUCCGACGGUGCUGUGUGGAAAGGCCGUCGCUCAACGGAUAAAAGUUACUCUAGGGAUAACA
rnacentral:rRNA from 1 species